AGAAACAGUGAAGUGUCUUCAACAACAGGGAAUGAUGCUACUGUUGGAGCACAAUAAGAGGCUGAGACAAAAGGUAGAACCAGCUUGAGUAGAGUUUUCGGAAAAGAACCAAGGUACCAAGUGAUGAUUAUAUAUAUAUAUUUUUUUAAUAAAGCCUGCCAUGCAUGAUUUAACUACUGGAAGUGAAGAACAGCAAGUAAUGCAUGGGCUUCAGUGGAGUCAUGAGUGAUUGGCUACAUCCUUGAAUAAAUAAUAAAUGUGUAUCUGUGUAUUUCAAGCUGUGAAAUUGCUCAAAGCCUUAAAUGAUAAUACAUUUAUUAGCAAUCAAAAUGCAUGCAUGUUUCUUUAGUUGAAGGCAAACUGGGCAUCACUAUAGCCCAUGAAACAUGUCUGUCUGGGAAUCCUUAUUUUUUUCUUUUUAAA